AUGUCGUCCUCCUCAAGCAUCGGUCAGUCCUCCCUUCUUGGGCAGGUCACGGAGAAGCUCACCCGCACCAACUACGUGUUGUGGUGUGCGCAGGUGACACCGCAGCUGAGGGGAGCUGGCUUCUUCGGCUACGUCGACCAGACCGUGCCGGAGCCUGCCAAGUUCCUCACCACGAAGGACAAGGACGGGAAAGAAGAACAGACGCCAAAUCCUCUUCACGUGAUCUAGUUCAAAGAAGGACAACAGGUACUUGGAUACUUGCUAGACAAUCUCACCAAGGAAGUCCUUGUGCAGGUCACAUCCAUAGCUACGCAGCAUGAACUCUGGGCUACUCUUGCACACAUGUUCUCAUCACAGUCCAGAGCCCACGUCAACAACAUCCGCGCCACACUCUCCAUGAUGCAAAAUGGCACGCAAACGGUGGCGGCGUACUUUGCUCACAUGUGA
rnacentral:rRNA from 1 species